AGAGUUUGAUCCUGGCUCAGGACGAACGCUGGCGGUGUGCUUCACACAUGCAAGUCGAACGGAGUAGCAAUACUCAGUGGCGGACGGGUGAGUAACACGUGGGAAUCUACCAUUAGGUGGGGAAUAACAGGCCGAAAGGACUGCUAAUGCCGCAUAUGUAGGCAUCUCGACAGAGAUGUUUAUGAAAGGAGUAAUCCGCCUUUUGAUGAGCCCGCGUCCGAUUAGCUAAUUGGUAGGGUAAAGGCCUACCAAGGCGACGAUCGGUAGGUGGUCUGAGAGGAUGAUCACCCACAAUGGGACUGAGACACGGCCCAUACUCCUACGGGAGGCAGCAGUGGGGAAUUUUACGCAAUGGGGGAAACCCUGACGUAGCGACACCGCGUGAGCGAAGAAGCCCUUUGGGGUGUAAAGCUCUGUCAACAGGAACGAAACAAAUGACGGUACCUGUGGAGGAAGCAUCGGCUAACUACGUGCCAGCAGCCGCGGUAAGACGUAGGAUGCAAGCGUUGUCCGGAUUUAUUGGGCGUAAAGAGUUCGUAGGCGGUUUGUUAAGUCUGAUGUUAAAGACCGGGGCUCAACCUCGGAAAUGCAUUGGAUACUGGCAGACUGGAGUGCAGUAGAGGCUAGUGGAAUUCCCAGUGUAGCGGUGAAAUGCGUAGA
rnacentral:rRNA from 1 species